AACGAACGCUGGCGGCAUGCCUAACACAUGCAAGUCGAGCGCCUGUAGCGAUACGGGAGCGGCGCACGGGUGAGUAACGCGUGGGAACCUGCCCUUAGGUUCGGGACAACCGCGGGAAACUGCGGCUGAUACCGGAUGAAGUCCCCGAUAGAGAUAUUGGGGCCCAAAGAUUUAUCGCCUUUGGAGGGGCCCGCGUCGGAUUAGGUAGUUGGUGGGGUAACGGCUCACCAAGCCUGUGAUCCGUAGCUGGUCUGAGAGGAUGAUCAGACAGACUGGGACUGAGACACGGCCCAGACUCCUACGGGAGGCAGCAGUGGGGAGUAUUGGACAAUGGGGGCAACCCUGAUCCAGCAAUGCCGCGUGGGUGAUGAAGGCCUUCGGGUUGUAAAGCCCUUUCGGCGGGGACGAUGAUGACGGUACCCGCAGAAGAAGCCCCGGCUAACUUCGUGCCAGCAGCCGCGGUAACAC
rnacentral:rRNA from 1 species